GGGGCCCUCUAGUGGCUGCUGUGGAGUACUGCAGGUUUUAGUGGUUUAACAGGGAGUGAGGCCCUCUAGUGGCUGCUGUGGAGAACUGCAGGUUUUAGUGGAUUAACAGGGAGUGAGGCCCUCUAGUGGCUGCUGUGGAGUACUGCAGGUUUUUGUACAGGGUUCUGGUGUUUCCUGUCACUGUGGGCCUCACAGCGCAGUAGUACACAGCAGAGUCUGUCACUGCAGCAGAGGAGAUCUUCAUGGACAUUUCUUCUUUGCUUCCUUUAAAUGUCAUCCUGUCCAGAUGUUCUGAUCCACCAAAAGGUGAGUGAGACCUCAGGAACUCUGGAGGUUCUCCUGGAUUUUGUCAAUACCAGAAUAAGAAAUAAGCAGAAUCUUUGGUGUAACUACAGGUCAGAGUAACAGAGCUGCCCUCUGAACUGAACUCCUCAGUCUUCGCUGCAGUGAGUUGUUGACAGUUUACACCUGAAGGAAGAAAAACUGAUAUAAGUGAAGAACAAGAAGGAUCAGAUUAUUCUCUGAAAGACUCCAAC